rnacentral:lncRNA from 1 species
GGGGGAAGUUCAUUUUGUUUUGUGGUUUCCUCAAAGGCUCAAGACAUAGUUAUGAUUCUCUAUGACUUUCCCAUUGGUUUCUUUUUAAACUGUUUCCAUUCGAAUCAAAUGCCCAGUGAGCAGCCGCUGUGCCCGGGAGGAGCCGCAAAGGGGAGUGAGUUUCCAACCACAGGGGAAGGACAAAUAACAGGGAAAGGUAAAGGCUGGAAGAAUUUGAAUAGGGUGUGAAUUCGACAACAUAAAACAAAACGUCAUGGCCCUGCAGAAGAGAGAACAGUUAGGAGGAGCUGCAAACCGCUGACACAAGUGGGCGUCUCUGACAAGGAGAGUUCUGAAAGGCGUAGGUGGCGCUGCGGCUGGAGGAGAAAUAGGAGCCCAGAAGUCCGAGCUUGUUUGAGGAACAAAACACCCGAGGAGAAGCUGCAGAAUGCUUAGUCUUGAGAUUUCUCUGGCUGUGUAAGUGAAGUCCUCUGCGUUCUCAUUUAUUUCACCUUUUUUUUUUUUUUUUUUUGAGUGGAUUUCUGGUUGUGAUACUGAACUGUGGAUAUUUGACCUAAAUAAAGUGCCAAUUUGGAAAAGAAACAUGAGGAAAAGGGAGAAAUGACAGUCACAAAUGAGAGUGUGCAAGUGCAGUGCUCGGGCAAGCAGUUCAGUCUCUGCUUUAACUGAACUGUUACGGAAAGAGACGCCCUUUCACGACUUUCCAGUGCAUUAUUUUAAACCACAUAUAUUAUUAAUAUAUGGUCAGUCAUGGAUUCUUCAAGAAAAUGUUUUGAAACUCUAACAUCUUAAACUUUGGCUUAUAUUGUUGUGAAGGUAUUUAUUCUUUCUUAUUUUUCUUGAAAGCUUAGAGUUACUAAUUGUUUUGUCAUCAAAUUUUCUGAUUAUAAAUAUCAAGGAGUCCCACCGUACACUACAGUUUCGUGGCAUGGAUUGUAUUUUCCUUGUAAUUCGAAGCUUGUAAAUCACAAGGGCGUCAAAGGCCAUGAGCUCUAUGAACACCUUCGGACGACCACCAGAUUUGGUUGCUACCAUUGCUUUCAAAAUAAAAGAUUCAAAACCAACCGAAAAGAGACCUGGUUCGCCCACAAACGAUUAAGGAACACUUCUACCUACAGCCCGCUGCCGAUCCACAGGCACUAUGAAAGCUUUUCUGCUGGAAUACUUUCGCCUGUCUGUUGCAGAAGAAACCAUCACUGCUUAAUAGGAAAGUAGUACUUCUGUUAUGGUUGAGUUUAAAAUGUGCUUUUUAGAGGCAUCAUCUCUCAGAGACCAACUCAUGCAUGUGUUCAGAGAGGGUCUUAAUUGGUGCAUGAUUUACUACAUGAAGCAAAACUUUGCUUGGACAGGCUGAAAGACUAUGGUGAGGAAGAGCCCUUUAUACAGUUUUAUAGGCCUGUCUUCUCACUGGGAACAUAUAUUUACUAAUUGUAUAAUUGGUGGCACAGUUCUUCCAUCAUAAACAUUGUUAUCAGUUAAUUAAACUUGAAAUGCAGCUUUGUUCCACAACAUGUUUUGUCAGAUUGUUUUCCUUAUUUAUUUAUCAUCAUAAAAUUUUACUUGGUGACUGGCAGCUUCUCAGCCCUCCAAUAAUAAUAUAAAUCAAAACAUAAGAUUUUAGUCUUCAUGCAAUUUCCUUUUGGUCUGAAAAUAUGAAACCAGAUGUUUUUGGCAU